rnacentral:rRNA from 1 species
AUUGAACGCUGGCGGCAGGCCUAACACAUGCAAGUCGAGCGGAGCGGCGGACGGGUGAGUAAUGCCUAGGAACCUGCCCGGUAGCGGGGGAUAACGUCCGGAAACGGGAGCUAAUACCGCAUACUAUCAGAUGAGCCUAUGUCGGAUUAGCUAGUUGGUGGGGUAAAGGCUUACCAAGGCGACGAUCCGUAACUGGUCUGAGAGGAUGAUCAGUCACACUGGAACUGAGACACGGCCCAGACUCCUACGGGAGGCAGCAGUGGGGAAUAUUGGACAAUGGGCGAAACCCUGAUCCAGCCAUCCCGCGUGUGUGAAGAAGGCCUUCGGAUUGUAAAGCACUUUAAGUUGGGAGGCGUUACCAACAGAAUAAGCACCGGCUAACUUCGUGCCAGCAGCCGCGGUAAUUC